CGUUGUCUUCGUUGUUGUUGUUGUUGUUGUUGUUGUUGUUGUUGUUGUUGUUGUUGAUAUCAUUGUUGUCGUUCUUGUCGUAGUUUUUGUUGUUGUCGUGCUUCUCAUCAUUGUCGUCGUUGUCAUCGUCGUCGUUGUUGUUGUUGUUAUUGUUGUUGUUGUUGUUGUUGUUGUAGUAGUAGUAGUAGUAGUAGUAGUAGUAGUAGUAGUAGUUGUAGUAGUAGUAGUAGUAGUAGUAGUAGUUG
rnacentral:lncRNA from 1 species